CCCCUGAAAGACUAUCAGGUUGAUAGGUUGGAGGUGUAAGUACAGUAAUGUAUUCAGCUGACCAAUACUAAUAGGUCGAGGGAUUGAUCAAAUU
rnacentral:rRNA from 1 species